UGCGGUUCUUGGGUGAUGCACCCCAAAAUCAGGCUCCCUCCUCUCUAGUUCCGGAGUGCAUCACCUGAGAACCCCC
rfam:Myotis lucifugus cont2.20693, whole genome shotgun sequence.